UGAGUACGAGAUGCUACGGCGUCGAAGCAGUCUAGGUCAUACUUCCAAGAAAAGCUUGCACUGUCAUAAACAAAGAAUGCCUGUACCAUAACCGACACAGGUGGGUAGGUAGAGUAUACUAAGGGGCGCGAGAUAACUCUCUCUAAGGAACUCGGCAAAAUGACUCCGUAACUUCGGGAGAAGGAGUGCCUUAUUUUUAAGGUUGCAAUAACAAGAUCCAAGCAACUGUUUACCAAAAACACAGGUCUCCGCUAAGUCGUAAGACGAUGUAUGGGGGCUGACGCCUGCCCAGUGCCAGAAGGUUAAAGAAGUUGGUUAGCAUUUGCGAAGCUGAUAACUGAAGCCCUGGUGAACGGCGGCCGUAACAAUAACGGUCCUAAGGUAGCGAAAUUCCUUGUCGGGUAAGUUCCGACCCGCACGAAAGGCGUAAUGAUUUGGAUACUGUCUCGGAGAGGGGCUCGGUGAAAUAGACUUGUCUGUGAAGAUGCGGACUACCUGCACCUGGACAGAAAGACCCUAUGAAGCUUUACUGUAACUUGAGAUUGAAAUUGGACUUUAUUUGCGCAGUAUAGGUGGGAGGCGUUGAGAAUAAUCUUGCGGGAUUAUCGGAGCCAUCAGUGAGAUACCACUCUUGUAAUGUUAGAUUUCUAACUUUGUAUCAUUAUCUGGUCAAAGAACAGUUUCAGGCGGGCAGUUUGACUGGGGCGGUCGCCUCCCAAAGGGUAACGGAGGCGCACAAAGGUUUCCUCUGAACGGGUAGAAAUCGUAUCUAGAGUGUAAAGGCAUAAGGAAGCUUGACUGUGAGACCUACAAGUCGAGCAGGGACGAAAGUCGGUCUUAGUGAUCUGACGGUGCUGAGUGGAAAGGCCGUCACUCAACGGAUAAAAGUUACUCUAAGGAUAACAGGCUGAUCUCCCCCAAGAGUUCACAUCGACGGGGAGGUUUGGCACCUCGAUGUCGGCUCAUCGCAUCCUGGGGCGGUAGUACGUCCCAAGGGUUGGGCUGUUCGCCCAUGAAAGCGGUACGCGAGCUGGGUUCAGAACGUCGUGAGACAGUUCGGUCCAUAUCCGGUGUAGGCGUUAGAAUAUUGAAAGGAGCCUUCUCUAGUACGAGAGGACCGAGAAGGACAUACCUCUGGUGUGCCAGUUAUCGUGCCAACGGUAAACGCUGGGUAGCUAUGUAUGGAGUGGAUAACCGCUGAAAGCAUCUAAGUGGGAAGCCCACCUUAAGAUAAG
rnacentral:rRNA from 1 species